UACGUAGGGUGCGAGCGUUGCCCGGAUUUAUUGGGCGUAAAGGGCGCGCAGGCGGCUCGGCACGUCCGUUGUGAAAUCGCCCGGCUCAACUGGGCGGGGUCAGCGGAUACGGUCGAGCUUGAGCAAGCUAGGGGGCAAUGGAAUUCCCGGUGUAGUGGUGGAAUGCGUAGAUAUCGGGAAGAACACCAGUGGCGAAAGCGCUCUACUGGGCCAUAACUGACACUGAGGGACGAAAGCUAGGGGAGCGAAAGGG
rnacentral:rRNA from 1 species